GUUAAUACCGCAUAAUGUCUACGGACCAAAGUGUGGGACCUUCGGGCCACAUACUAUCGGAUGCACCUAUAUGGGAUUAGCUAGUUGGUGGGGUAAUGGCUCACCAAGGCGACGAUCCCUAGCUGGUUUGAGAGGAUGAUCAGCCACACUGGGACUGAGACGCGGCCCAGACUCCUACGGGAGGCAGCAGUGGGGAAUAUUGGACAAUGGGCGCAAGCCUGAUCCAGCCAUGCCGCGUGUGUGAAGAAGGCCUUCGGGUUGUAAAGCACUUUCAGCGA
rnacentral:rRNA from 1 species